UCUCGGGGAGAGUGAGGUUGGACUCUCUCUCUCUCUCUCUCUGGAGGAUCUGGUGGAGGAGAUUCGGAGGAGGUCUGCAGGUGACCUCCCCUGGAUGCUGAAGACCUGUACACCUGGUACGUGGGUGAACUGCAUGUGUCAGUGCGUCAGUCAUCCCACCACAAGACGCUGUAUGUUAGAUAACCAACAGCAGGAAAAGCACUGACGCAUGAGAAGAUCAACACGUCCCAGAUAUCUCACACAUCAUGUGCUUCAUAUCCCGCCGUGUCUUCACCAGCUCUGGUUUUGGUCUCCUCCAACUCCACAGGGAAAUCAGCUGCUACCUGCUGUGUUUGUGUUUUCCGAGCCUGUGAACGCAUCACGAGACGCCGGAUGCUUUAAUCUUCCAGCCUCUUGUGUCUGAGCGGAUAAAGAUGGCUGCUGAAGGUUGAAUGUCGCAGCCCCUCAGCGUCUCUUUCAGCCACUCACGUGUUCAUAAAUUACCACGGCAACAUCAGAGACUGACUCACGAGGACGCCGGGAAUUACUUCAUUGUUGUGGGAAAACAAACGCACCUCGGAGGACGUUUGCAUAAACAUCGACGCCGGGGCUUCGCUCAGCAGCCCGUCACACACUCUUCUUCAUGUGCUUGUAAAGAGGGCAGUUUAACAUCGCAGGCUGACAUGAGGGGGAGUGACAGGGCCACUUAAUUUAAAGAAGCAUCACCCCGACCGCAGCAGGUUAAUGCACCUCCUCAGUAUUGGAUGUGAAGUCCGUGGCAUCACCUUAUUGAUCAGAACAUUUAACAUCAAUCCUGCUGCGUCCUUGUCGCCGCCGAGGCACAAUAAAGCUCCUGUACUCAUCUCAUCGGUGACAGCACAUGAUGCCAGAGUGAUGGAUCGCACGUCCGAGUCCUGACGUGGAGAAACGCGGCCGGACGUUUUUCCGCGAAGGACGGCGGACCGCUCGGCCGGCGAAGGUCGAACCGCUGGUGAUUUAUCAAAGCCACGGACGGACUUUCUCCUCCGGCUUCACUCCAGUGAAAUAUGUUGCUCCCUGAGAAGACGUCGAGCAUCAGAGCUGGUGAAUCAACUCUUAUGUAAUCGUCAUCUUUUUACAUUUAGAUUUUUGUUUGCUGCUUUCGCUCAAGUCACUGAAUCAAAAAUAACUUCAACCUUUGAGAAACUGAAGAGGUUUUUUGAGACAAUAGAAGAUUUGGAAAAUAAAUCUUAAUGUGCAGAGGAAAGUGGAUUUGUUUCAACCUGAAAGAAUUGCAGUUCACUCGUCCAGCAGGAAUUAAAAUCAUUAAAAAUACAUUAGGAAUUACUCAAAACUACGUCUGUAUUGCCAUGAAAUUUGGUGCAUUCGUGGUCCUCAGAGGAUGAAUCCUCUCGCUUGUCCUUUAGCAACAUCAGCAAGGUUUUGGUUCUGAGUGAAACAUCUCAACAGCUGUUGGAUGGAUUGUGAUGAUAUGGUUCAGACUUUCACGCUCCCCUGAGGAUGAACUCUAUUAACUCAACUGCUGAUCCUCUGAUUUUCCCUCAUCGUCACAUCAACAGUUAAUUAGUCCAAUACUUUGAUUCAUGACCAAAUAUCUGCAGAACUAAUGACGUUCCCAUCAGGCUAACACUGUAAAGAUUAAAUCUGUGUUAGCAUCUUAGCUUCCUGACGUUAGCUCAGAAUGCUAAAGAUAAAAGAUAGAUGUUCAGUGUUUUUGAAAGCUGUGAACUGCUGAAACUAAAACCUGAAAAACAAAGAUUUCUGUUUUGUUUUGUUUUUAAAAUCUUAUUUUCAUCCGUUUCAUUAUUUCACAAACGAACCAAAUAAGUCACUUAUUCUCACUUUAUGUAAAAUGUUUCAGACCGUCAUCAGGUGAAGCUCAUGACAUGUUUGACAUAUCUUACUAAAGGACGUUCUGAUGCACAAAAACUUUGUAGUAAUUGUUGAUAAAAGCUGAAACUGGAGCCUCAAGCAUCUUUCUCACUGUGUUCACUCUGAGGUUAAAAAUAACCUCAUGGUUAAUCCAUCCCAGCACGGAAAUCAAUCUAAAGUCAUUUGAGAAGCGAAACACACGUUGAGGUGGAGGCAGCUGAUUCUAAUUAAAUCGACCGGUUUGAUAAGGCAUCGUAACGCAACGACAAGCAAGAAAUCCCUGUGAUUACGGAGGGAAAACAGGACCGAUGGAGGCCUGAGUACACGCCAUCAUCCAUCCGUUAGGCCAUCGAUCCUCUCCCUCUAACUCGAACCGUCGCUCUGCAGCUCGGUGCUCAGGUGGUCACAGCCGGAUGGAAAUGCCACGCUGGGAUCACGGGGGCCGAGCCAGGCCCGGAGGCCCCUCUGGUGCGCCGCCUCCUGGCCCCCCGGCGCCCCGGGCCAUCCUCAACCCCUGCCACGCGAGAUGACAGAUGGCCGGCUUCCCACAACAACAUGCGCAGCUGAAGCGAAAUGCCAAACCUCCUGCACAGCCUUUAUCGGGGCUUUAUAGACGAGCAGGCCGGAGUCCUGAGGCGCUCCGGUUUUUAGGUUAACGCUCAAGAAGGGAGCAGUGAAGAAGAAGAGUUCACAGGAGAGAGCAGUCAGCAGGUUCCUACAGAGAACAAGGAGUUAUUAGCUGGAAUUUCAUAUCAGAUUUACCUACAGAGUCCUCAGAGGAGUAAUCCUGGUGACCUCUUGACCUUUAAUAUAGUUCGUUAAAGCUUUCUGCAGCAGGAUGGAGCCACUGGGUCACAGUGAACAUAAAGAUAUUAAAGCCAGUUACUGGUUUCCUGGUUGUGGCUGGUUUGUGAGUUUUUAAAGUGAAUGACCUGCUUCGAAAAAGAAAACCAGAAUCACCUCGUGGUUGUUUCCUUCACCAACCAGCCGAGUGACAGGACACACGGCCAGUCUCUCCUUCCUGAGCUACAGCCUUUAGAUGUGUUUUAACAUUAUGAUGUCACAGUGAAGUUGACCUUUGACCUUUUGGAUGUAAUAUGUCAUCACUUCAAAUUAUCCUUGUAGACAUUUGAGUUAAAUUGUGUCAUAAGUCGUGAAUGAAUUCGUGAGUUAUCGCCAAAAACGUGUUAAACGUCACAGUGGUCAAGGUCAAAGGCCAAGGUCACGGUGACCUUGGCCUUUGACCUUUGACCAUCACAAUCUUAUCAGUUCAUCCUUGAGUGCAAAUAAAUGUUUGUGACAAAUUUGAAGAAGUUGUUUCAAAGCGUUACUGAUCGUGGCGCCCUGAGGAUGAACCCUGAUGACUUUGGUAACGACUCUUCUAUCGGCAACAGUAAAUUACAGCUAAUACAUCUAAUUAUCUAAUUAUUAAUUAGCUUUAAUUUGUCCAGCACAAGUAACGGUGACACAUUAUAACUUGUCAUUUAUGUUGACAGAGUUACUGAGGAACGGAGCCACUCAGCUUGUUGCUGUUUGUCUUUAACACUCGACUCUGAGACAGAAGAGUCGGAUUCUCCAUCGGCGUUUCAGAGACGAAUCUUUUUCCUUUUCAUUCGAGCAGCUUCAGAAGAUUCUUCAGAUGUGUUGUUGCUCUGCAAAAAACAUCAGCAGUGUGAAGGUCUACAGUUUAAACAGGUUCUCACAAGGUUAUAAACACACACACACACACACACACACACACACACACACACCAUAUUGGGAGAUUAUGCACAUGAAGCCUCUGGGGAACUCGACUGUUGCUGAGCUGAGAGGCUUAUUUCUGAGACGAGGACAGAAACAGAGACUGAAGGCCACUGCUGCAGCUGAGACAC